UGGGGAAUAUUGCACAAUGGGCGGAAGCCUGAUGCAGCGACGCCGCGUGGGGGAUGAAGGCCUUCGGGUUGUAAACUCCUUUCGCCAGGGACGAAGCUUUUGUGACGGUACCUGUAUAAGAAGCACCGGCUAACUACGUGCCAGCAGCCGCGGUAAUACGUAGGGUGCGAGCGUUGUCCGGAAUUACUGGGCGUAAAGAGCUCGUAGGUGGUUUGUCGCGUCGUCUGUGAAAUUCCGGGGCUUAACUCCGGGCGUGCAGGCGAUACGGGCUGACUUGGGUGCUGUAGGGGAGACUGGAAUUCCUGGUGUAGCAGUGAAAUGCGCAGAUAUCAGGAGGAACACCGAUGGCGAAGGCAGGUCUCUGGGCAGUAACUGACGCUGAGGAGCGAAAGCAUGGGUAGCGAACAGG
rnacentral:rRNA from 1 species